ACUCCUACGGGAGGCAGCAGUGGGGAAUUUUGGACAAUGGGCGAAAGCCUGAUCCAGCAAUGCCGCGUGAGUGAAGAAGGCCUUCGGGUUGUAAAGCUCUUUUGUCAGGGAAGAAACGGUGAAAGCUAAUAUCUUUUGCUAAUGACGGUACCUGAAGAAUAAGCACCGGCUAACUACGUGCCAGCAGCCGCGGUAAUACGUAGGGUGCAAGCGUUAAUCGGAAUUACUGGGCGUAAAGCGUGCGCAGGCGGUUUUGUAAGUCUGAUGUGAAAUCCCCGGGCUCAACCUGGGAAUUGCAUUGGCGACUGCAAGGCUAGAAUCUGGCAGAGGGGGGUAGAAUUCCACGUGUAGCAGUGAAAUGCGUAGAUAUGUGGAGGAACACCGAUGGCGAAGGCAGCCCCCUGGGUCAAGAUUGACGCUCAUGCACGAAAGCGUGGGGAGCAAACAGGAUUAGAUACCCGUGUAGUCCCA
rnacentral:rRNA from 1 species